ensembl:lncRNA
GCCUCUCACAAUGCGUCAUGGUCGAAAACCCACCCUUUCCUUUCGUUGCUACGGACUACAGAGUGUGACGCUGGGCUAUCGAGACUGUGUGCAGGUGUGAUGUGCUGCCCAAUCUCAGUGCGCUGUGCCGUCAAGGCUCCCAACUGUGUAGCAUGCUAGUUUAACGUAGCUCCGGUCGGAGCUCCAGCUGUCGUCGUCACAACUAUUAAAGACGCUAUCAUGACUUUCGUAUGUACCAUCGUGAGUAUCAUGUCAUCGGAUCACGCACAAGCCUUCAACUAAAAGCACACAGGCAAUCUCACCCUGAGUCUGGUGCAAGCAGAACUAAAAUACCAUCAGUUAAAAUGUUAGCCAAUCAAUGGGAAAGGCGAGAGGUCAGGGGAGGAGGCAAAUCCUGCGUAAGGAAAAGUCACGCUCUCUUUCGGCUGCAGGCGAGACACGGAGAAGAUCACACUGGAGAACUGUAAAGUGAUUAAUGCUACUUUUCGUGCUUAAGUAAUACUUAAUGGUUUUCAGACCGAUAACCUAUUCACUACUUUGCAUGCGGAAGAAGUUGGUAUCACAUAGAGACAUUUUCAAAAUGAAUUUGUCGGAAUAGCUCAGCUAAUAGUAUUGCCUGAAAAGUUAGCAACUCGGUAGCUGGGACUGUGUUAGGCUAACUGACUUCGUCAACCAAUGAGUUGCCUCUGAGGAACAAGACUGUGGGACUAACCGGAGGAAGACGGCCUGCUGUUUGAACUGAUACGCGAACUACAGCAUCGCGUGAGCAACUGCACACACCGAGAGCGCACGAGCAGGGCUGCAGUGACGGUGCAUGGACCCUCUCUGGGCACGGACAUCCCCAUCAACCUUGUGAGUGAAUUUGUUUGGUUUUGUUGUGCGAUUCGCAUGAAGUGGCCAAUACAGUUUUAAGGCCUCAACGUCCCCAAGCUACGAUUUAGGCCUGCAUCAGGAACAUUGGUGUAUGUGGGGUUUAUAGAAAUUCUGGUGUGCCGGCUUAGGUAGGCUAUUGUUUUGGGCCCAUAGGUUAAAGGGUAUAACUGAAAACUGCUUGUUUUAUGCAUAUACAUGGGGUUAUA